rfam:Camelus ferus unplaced genomic scaffold scaffold760, whole genome shotgun sequence.
GGGGGUAUAGCUCAAAUGGUAGAGCGCAUGCUUAGCAUGCACAAGGUCCUGGGUUCAAUCCCCAGUACCUCCU